rnacentral:rRNA from 1 species
UACAGAGGGUGCGAGCGUUGUCCGGAAUCACUGGGCGUAAAGGGCGCGUAGGUGGCCCGACAAGUCCGUGGUGAAAGCUCGACGCUCAACGUCGAGUCGGCCAUGGAUACUGUUGGGCUGGAGCACUGCAGAGGCUCAUGGAAUUCCGGGUGUAGCGGUGGAAUGCGUAGAGAUCCGGAAGAACACCGGUGGCGAAGGCGGUGAGCUGGGCAGUUGCUGACACUGAGGCGCGACAGCGUGGGGAGCAAACAGG